UGUUUGUACAGGAUUCGGUCGAUUAGAAUGAUGAACUUAGAAAAUGGGGUGACUAAAGACGUUUUUAUUAGGAUUAACACAGUGGGUUACAAGACUGAUGAAAGGUAAGGAGACAAGAUCAGAGGUUUAAACGACAAGAUCAAAGAGAUGAUUAGGAAACCCUAAAUCUAGCCGCUUAGUAUGUGAUUUGUCCAAAAGUCCUUCUUUCGUUGCCUCCUCCUUCUCUCUUAUAGUGCCCUUGUGCGUGGUGCCCUAAUCGCGCCUAUCCUUUGGGCCUUGUCGCCCAAAGGCCGAGUAUGUGGGCCUUGGUACUGUUUCAUCCAAGCCGAGUACAGCUGAUCGACUUAGCUGGUGGGCUUAAAGUACUCUGGGGUCGAGCCGACGUCUCUAGCCGCUAAGCCGACUAAGCUUGAUCGACCUUGUCGGGCUAGGGCCUGUUAUGUGAUGGGCCUUGUGGAGGGAUGUAAUCCAUCUCCUACAAUAAGUCCCCCCCCAGUUCACUUGUGAGCGGCUUGUCGGUCUCAGUGAAUUUGUGGGUCAGGUUCGUUCAUAUAACAGGACCUAAUGCCGAUGACAGCUCGUUUUACCGGUGUACGGUUUUAGUCGCGCGCCGCGUCUAGUCGCUCCGCGUUACGUCUUCUCACGAUGCGUUGUGUUUUACUCGGGAGGUAAACUUCUCGAAUUAGGAAUCCAGGCGGUCUUUGGAUGGUUAACUCUGUCGAGUUGGUUCGGGCUAGAACCGGAGAUUAAUUUCGGUCCGGUUUCUUAAUUGAAAACCGGUUUUGGCGAGAAACCGAACCGUCGCGAGUAGGUUUUUGGGCAUUUAGGCGGCCUUUGAAGCCCAUUUAGGCCUUUGUAGACCUAAUGAUGAUGCUUCGAAGGAUGCGCCUCGUUUUUGCUAUAAAUAGGCGUCUCUCCUUUGCUUUCGUCAUUCUUCUCUGCAAGCUCAGGUAUUCCACUUUCUCUCCCUUCUCUCUGCUUUUAUUUUCUCUCUCUAGAUAAGCCUUCUGUAGCAUAGGGUUU
rnacentral:lncRNA from 1 species